rnacentral:rRNA from 1 species
ACAAGCAGUGAAUGUGCUUUGGGGUGGGGUGACUGCGUACCUUUUGUAUAAUGGGUCAGCGACUUAUAUUCUGUAGCAAGGUUAACCGUAUAGGGGAGCCGUAGGGAAACCGAGUCUUAACUGGGCGAAUGAGUUGCAGGGUAUAGACCCGAAACCCGGUGAUCUAGCCAUGGGCAGGUUGAAGGUUGGGUAACACUAACUGGAGGACCGAACCGACUAAUGUUGAAAAAUUAGCGGAUGACUUGUGGCUGGGGGUGAAAGGCCAAUCAAACCGGGAGAUAGCUGGUUCUCCCCGAAAGCUAUUUAGGUAGCGCCUCGUGAACUCAUCUUCGGGGGUAGAGCACUGUUUCGACUAGGGGGUCAUCCCGACUUACCAACUCGAUGCAAACUACGAAUACCGAAGAAUGUUAUCACGGGAGACACACGGCGGGUGCUAACGUUCGUCGUGAAGAGGGAAACAACCCAGACCGCCAGCUAAGGUCCCAAAGUCAUAGUUAAGUGGGAAACGAAGUGGGAAGGCUCAGACAGCCAGGAUGUUGGCUUAGAAGCAGCCAUCAUUUAAAGAAAGCGUAAUAGCUCACUGGUCGAGUCGGCCUGCGCGGAAGAUGUAACGGGGCUAAACUAUGCACCGAAGCUGCGGCAGCGA